rnacentral:rRNA from 1 species
CCUACGUGUGGCAGCAGUGGGGAAUAUUGGGCAAUGGAGGAAACUCUGACCCAGCAACGCCGCGUGAAUGAUGAAGGUCUUCGGAUUGUAACGUUCUUUUCUAAGGGAAGAAGAAAAUGACGGUACCUGACUAAGAAGCCCCGGCUAACUACGUGCCAGCAGCCGCGGUAAUACGUAGGGGGCAAGCGUUAUCCGGAUUUACUGGGUGUAAAGGGAGCGUAGACGGCCAGACAAGUCAGAAGUGAAAGCCCAGGGCUCAACCCUGGGACUGCUUUUGAAACUGCCGGGCUGGAGUGCAGGAGAGGUAAGCGGAAUUCCUAGUGUAGCGGUGAAAUGCGUAGAUAUUAGGAGGAACACCAGUGGCGAAGGCGGCUUACUGGACUGUAACUGACGUUGAGGCUCGAAAGCGUGGGGAGCAAACAGGAUUAGAUACCCCUGUAGUC